rnacentral:lncRNA from 1 species
GCGGAGAUUUGAAAGCCAAAAAAUUGGUAUGUUUUUACACAAUAAUUGGCAAAUUGUAGUUGUGUCAUGCAUAAAAUAUUGCAACGAAGUCAAGAUAUUUUCCUAUCACGUAUAAACACUGUGUUUUUUUUUUUUUUGGUUAUGUUGGAAAUACUUCACACUUGGAUAAACUUUUAUUACUAGAACUAGUAAUCUAUUAUAGCUAGCACUUAGCAGUAACAUUUAACAUCAGUGGAUAAUAUCAACCUCCCAUUAAAGCAGCUAUUCUAGAGUACUGUAUAAUAUAAUAAUCAGAAAAGUUUAAGAUUCACCGGCUCUCCUGACACAAAUUAAAACUAAAUGGGUGGAGUUAAUUAACCAAUAUUUCAUUGUUAGUGUUUAAAAAAAAAAAAAAAGGAGAAACUAUGCUAAAGAAGAAUCCGAUAUCAGAAUCGCACACAGCCGUCUUUGCCACUAUUACCAAAGCUAUUAAUUGUACG